GAUGAAUCUAAAUAGUGUGACGGUCUGAGUACUCGUGGGCGUGAUGAGGUGACUACGGAGCCACCAGAACAUGCGAGUGGCAAUGCUUCAGGACAAGCAGCCAGCGAUGGCAUAGCUUCACAGAAUGGAGUACGACGUAGGUGUUCAAGGAUUGUAUCAGGUCGCAUGCGAAGAUCCUGAAGUUGCAAGUAGAUACAGUCAAGAACAUAGUUAAAGGUGAUAUGGGAGAUAAGUUCCCUAGGCAAGCUGGAUUGAAGCUUGAUGAGCCGAACCCAAGGGACGUGCUUAGUUUCUACCACAAAAUUCUAUCAUUCAUAACAACCGAUGUUGCAAAGAGUUCAGGCUGAAUGGUCAGUUAACAAGAAUCGGGUGGAUCUGCAUGUGGUGGAUGAUCGUUUACAAGGAAGGUUGAAUGUAUGGUUUCUCGAGAUGAUCAGAUGGUGC